rnacentral:lncRNA from 1 species
GUUGCCCAACUAAAACAAAAAUCAAAGCACAUCCAUGGCAUCACACAUAUGUUUGUGCACUAUAUCGCAACUGCUGCGGUGGGGGUGGCGUCUACAGUGGCGGUGGUGGGGCGGUUUACGGUGGAGGACUUUGACAAAUGGGAACAUUGUGAAUGAAAGAAGGUGGCAGCUACAGUGGCGGCGGAGGUGGAGGCUGUGGUGGAGGAGUACUUGGAUGGAUGGGAACAUUGUGAAUGGGAGGAGGUGGUGGCGGCCUAUGCACGGCUUUCCUUAAGCUAUGGUAAUUCCCUCAGUAUAGAUAUCGAACUCUGCCUAAAUCAUACGGCUUCAGAGGUUCCCAGGUAGGUACAUCCACCAUCGGCGCCUGAUAAGUGACGAGUUCCAGAAACGAGCCUUGAAACAGGAAGAGAGCAAGCAGACUAAUGCUAGUGAACUUCAUUGUUGACAACCAAAGCUGAGAGAGUAACAGCUUGGACCUUUAUCAAUGGAGGUACGCUAUUUUUUAUACAUAUGAAACUCGUGUUCUUCUUAUCUUCUAUUUUCUUUUUGGGAAGAAAAUUGUAAUUUGACAGGCU